AUAAGUUCACUAAUGAGCACCCAGGAACUCUUGAAGGGCUUCGUGGCGCAAGACAGAGUACCCUGUUCCACAAAGCCCAAGGUAGCAAGUUCAAUCCCCCUUCUGUUCUGUCUGUCUGGUGCUUCCCCUAACUCACCGCUCUGCUGUGGCUCUAAGAACCGGCUGUAAGACAUAGGUAACAAGGUUCAUCAUCAUCAGAUUUGAGCCAGCCACGGCCGGGGGGGUUCCAGCUUUUUUCUUUUUUUUUUGGGAAAUAGUUCUGUUGCGUCAUCUUCUUCUACCCAUAGAAGAGCCGGCCGAUUCACAGAAGAGAAG